rnacentral:rRNA from 1 species
UAGGGAAUCUUCGGCAAUGGACGAAAGUCUGACCGAGCAACGCCGCGUGAGUGAAGAAGGUUUUCGGAUCGUAAAACUCUGUUGUUAGAGAAGAACAAGGACGUUAGUAACUGAACGUCCCCUGACGGUAUCUAACCAGAAAGCCACGGCUAACUACGUGCCAGCAGCCGCGGUAAUACGUAGGUGGCAAGCGUUGUCCGGUUUUAUUGGGCGUAAAGCGAGCGCAGGCGGUUUCUUAAGUCUGAUGUGAAAGCCCCCGGCUCAACCGGGGAGGGUCAUUGGAAACUGGGAGACUAGAGUGCAGAAGAGGAGAGUGGAAUUCCAGGUGUAGCGGUGAAAUGCGUAGAUAUAUGGAGGAACACCAGUGGCGAAGGCGGCUCUCUGGUCUGUAACUGACGCUGAGGCUCGAAAGCGUGGGGAGCAAACAGG